rnacentral:rRNA from 1 species
AUUGAACGCUGGCGGUAUGCUUAACACAUGCAAGUCGAACGGUAACAGGCCUUCGGGCGCUGACGAGUGGCGGACGGUGAGUAACGCGUAGGAAUCUGCCUCAUAGUGGGGGACAACGUGGGGAAACUCACGCUAAUACCGCAUACGCCCUACGGGGAAAGCGGGGAGUCUUCGGACCUCGCGCUAUGAGAUGAGCCUGCGUUAGAUUAGCUAGUUGGUAGGGUAAAGGCCUACCAAGGCGACGAUCUAUAGCUGGUCUGAGAGGACGAUCAGCCACACUGGGACUGAGACACGGCCCAGACUCCUACGGGAGGCAGCAGUGGGGAAUAUUGGGACAAUGGGCGCAAGCCUGAUCCAGCAAUACCGCGUGUGUGAAGAAGGCCUUAGGGUUGUAAAGCACUUUCAAUUGGGAGGAAAACCUGCCGGUCAAUACCCGGUAGCUUGACAUUACCUUUAGAAGAAGCACCGGCUAACUCCGUGCCAGCAGCCGCGGUAA